AUUGAACGCUGGCGGCAUGCCUUACACAUGCAAGUCGAACGGCAGCACGGGAGCAAUCCUGGUGGCGAGUGGCGAACGGGUGAGUAAUAUAUCGGAACGUGCCCGGUCGUGGGGGAUAACGUAGCGAAAGUUACGCUAAUACCGCAUACGAUCUAAGGAUGAAAGCGGGGGAUCGCAAGACCUCGCGCGAUUGGAGCGGCCGAUAUCAGAUUAGGUAGUUGGUGAGGUAAAGGCUCACCAAGCCGACGAUCUGUAGCUGGUCUGAGAGGACGACCAGCCACACUGGGACUGAGACACGGACCAGACUCCUACGGGAGGCAGCAGUGGGGGAAUAUUGGACAAUGGGCGAAGACCUGAUCCAGCAAUAGCCGCGUGAGUGAUGAAGGCC
rnacentral:rRNA from 1 species